AUUGAACGCUGGCGGCAGGCCUAACACAUGCAAGUCGAGCGAGCGGCGGACGGGUGAGUAAUGUAUGGGGACUGCCCGAUAGAGGGGGAUAACUACUGGAAACGGUAGCUAAUACCGCAUACUAUCGGAUAACCCAUAUGGGGUUAGCUAGUAGGUGGGGUAAUGGCUCACCUAGGCGACGAUACCUAGCUGGUCUGCGAGGAUGAGCAGCCACUCGGUGACUGAGACACGGCCCAGACUCCUACGGACGACGCAGUGGGGACUAUGGCACAAUUGGCGCAAGCCUGAUGCAGCCCUCCCGCGUGUAUGAAGAAGGCCCUAGGGUUUUAAAGUUCUUUCAGUCGGGAGGCGUUACCGACAGAAGAAGCACCGGCUAACUCCGUGCCAGCAGCCGCGGUAAUUC
rnacentral:rRNA from 1 species